rnacentral:rRNA from 1 species
AUUGAACGCUGGCGGCAGGCCUAACACAUGCAAGUCGAGCGGAUGAAGGGAGCUUGCUCCUGGAUUCAGCGGCGGACGGGUGAGUAAUGCCUAGGAAUCUGCCUGGUAGUGGGGGAUAACGUCCGGAAACGGGCGCUAAUACCGCAUACGUCCUGAGGGGGAAAGUGGGGGAUCUUCGGACCUCACGCUAUCAGAUGAGCCUAGGUCGGAUUAGCUAGUUGGUGGGGUAAAGGCCUACCAAGGCGACGAUCCGUAACUGGUCUGAGAGGAUGAUCAGUCACACUGGAACUGAGACACGGUCCAGACUCCUACGGGAGGCAGCAGUGGGGAAUAUUGGACAAUGGGCGAAAGCCUGAUCCAGCCAUGCCGCGUGUGUGAAGAAGGUCUUCGGAUUGUAAAGCACUUUAAGUUGGGAGGAAGGGCAGUAAGUUAAUACCUCGCUGUUUUGACGUUACCAACAGAAUAAGCACCGGCUAACUUCGUG